rnacentral:tRNA from 1 species
AUUUGGGGCUCAGCGGUAGAGCACUCGCCUCACAUGCGUGAGGCCCUGGGUUCGAUCUUCAGCACCACACA